AUUGAACGCUGGCGGAAUGCUUUACACAUGCAAGUCGAGCGGCAGCGCGGGGCAACCUGGCGGCGAGCGGCGAACGGGUGAGUAAUACAUCGGAACGUGCCCAGACGUGGGGGAUAACUACUCGAAAUAGUGGCUAAUACCGCAUACGAUCUAAGGAUGAAAGCGGGGGAUCGCAAGACCUCGCGCGUUUGGAGCGGCCGAUGGCAGAUUAGGUAGUUGGUGGGGUAAAGGCUUACCAAGCCCGCGAUCUGUAGCUGGUCUGAGAGGAUGAUCAGCCACACUGGGACUGAGACACGGCCCAGACUCCUACGGGAGGCAGCAGUGGGGAAUUUUGGACAAUGGGCGAAAGCCUGAUCCAGCCAUUCCGCGUGCAGGAUGAAGGCCCUCGGGUUGUAAACUGCUUUUGUACAGAACGAAAAAGACUCUUUCUAAUACAGAGAGUCCAUGACGGUACUGUAAGAAUAAGCACCGGCUAACUACGUGCCAGCAGCCGCGGUAAU
rnacentral:rRNA from 1 species